GAAUUCGCCCUUAGAGUUUGAUCCUGGCUCAGGACGAACGCUGGCGGCGCGCCUAACACAUGCAAGUCGAACGAGCGAGAGAGAGCUUGCUUUCUCGAGCGAGUGGCGAACGGGUGAGUAACGCGUGAGGAACCUGCCUCAAAGAGGGGGACAACAGUUGGAAACGACUGCUAAUACCGCAUAAGCCCACGGGUCGGCAUCGACCAGAGGGAAAAGGAGCAAUCCGCUUUGAGAUGGCCUCGCGUCCGAUUAGCUAGUUGGUGAGGUAAUGGCCCACCAAGGCAACGAUCGGUAGCCGGACUGAGAGGUUGAACGGCCACAUUGGGACUGAGACACGGCCCAGACUCCUACGGGAGGCAGCAGUGGGGAAUAUUGCACAAUGGGGGAAACCCUGAUGCAGCGACGCCGCGUGGAGGAAGAAGGUCUUCGGAUUGUAAACUCCUGUUGUUGGGGAAGAUAAUGACGGUACCCAACAAGGAAGUGACGGCUAACUACGUGCCAGCAGCCGCGGUAAAACGUAGGUCACAAGCGUUGUCCGGAAUUACUGGGUGUAAAGGGAGCGCAGGCGGGAAGACAAGUUGGAAGUGAAAUCUAUGGGCUCAACCCAUAAACUGCUUUCAAAACUGUUUUUCUUGAGUAGUGCAGAGGUAGGCGGAAUUCCCGGUGUAGCGGUGGAAUGCGUAGAUAUCGGGAGGAACACCAGUGGCGAAGGCGGCCUACUGGGCACCAACUGACGCUGAGGCUCGAAAGUGUGGGUAGCAAACAGGAUUAGAUACCCUGGUAGUCCACACCGUAAACGAUGAUUACUAGGUGUUGGAGGAUUGACCCCUUCAGUGCCGCAGUUAACACAAUAAGUAAUCCACCUGGGGAGUACGACCGCAAGGUUGAAACUCAAAGGAAUUGACGGGGGCCCGCACAAGCAGUGGAGUAUGUGGUUUAAUUCGACGCAACGCGAAGAACCUUACCAAGUCUUGACAUCCCUUGACAGACAUAGAAAUAUGUAAUCUCUUCGGAGCAAGGAGACAGGUGGUGCAUGGUUGUCGUCAGCUCGUGUCGUGAGAUGUUGGGUUAAGUCCCGCAACGAGCGCAACCCUUAUGGUCAGUUACUACGCAAGAGGACUCUGGCCAGACUGCCGUUGACAAAACGGAGGAAGGUGGGGAUGACGUCAAAUCAUCAUGCCCUUUAUGACUUGGGCUACACACGUGCUACAAUGGCGUAAACAAAGGGAGGCAAAGCUGUGAAGCCGAGCAAAUCUCAAAAAUAACGUCUCAGUUCGGACUGUAGUCUGCAACCCGACUACACGAAGCUGGAAUCGCUAGUAAUCGCAGAUCAGAAUGCUGCGGUGAAUACGUUCCCGGGUCUUGCACACACCGCCCGUCA
rnacentral:rRNA from 1 species